rnacentral:misc_RNA from 1 species
GAUGAAGAACGCAGCGAAAUGCGAAAAGUAAUGUGAAUUGCAGAAUUCAGUGAAUCAUCGAAUCUUUGAACGCACAUUGCGCCCGCCAGUAUUCUGGCGGGCAUGCCUGUCUGAGCGUCAUUUCAACCCUCACGCCCCUAGGGCGUGGUGUUGGGGAUCGGCCAGCGCCCUCGCGGGCGAGGCCGUCCCCUAAAUCUAGUGGCGGACCCGUCGUGGCCUCCCCUGCGAAGUAGUGAUACUCCGCAUAGGAGAGCGACGAGCCCCUGCCGUUAAACCCCCAACUUUCUCAGGUUGACCUCAGAUCAGGUAGGAAUACCCGCUGAACUUAAGCAUAUCAAUAAGCGGAGGA